AUUGAACGCUGGCGGCAUGCCUUACACAUGCAAGUCGAACGGCAGCGGGGACUUCGGUCCGCCGGCGAGUGGCGAACGGGUGAGUAAUGUAUCGGAACGUACCUUUCAGUGGGGGAUAACGUAGCGAAAGUUACGCUAAUACCGCAUAUUCUGUGAGCAGGAAAGCAGGGGAUCGCAAGACCUUGCGCUGAUUGAGCGGCCGAUAUCAGAUUAGCUAGUUGGUGGGGUAAAGGCCUACCAAGGCUACGAUCUGUAGCGGGUCUGAGAGGAUGAUCCGCCACACUGGGACUGAGACACGGCCCAGACUCCUACGGGAGGCAGCAGUGGGGAAUUUUGGACAAUGGGGGCAACCCUGAUCCAGCCAUGCCGCGUGAGUGAAGAAGGCCUUCGGGUUGUAAAGCUCUUUCGGCCGGGAAGAAAUCGCAUCAGCUAAUACCUGGUGUGGAUGACGGUACC
rnacentral:rRNA from 1 species